AUUGAACGCUGGCGGCAUGCUUUACACAUGCAAGUCGAACGGUAACAGGGUGCUUGCACCGCUGACGAGUGGCGAACGGGUGAGUAAUGCGUCGGAACGUGCCGAGUAGUGGGGGAUAACGCAGCGAAAGUUGUGCUAAUACCGCAUACGUACUGAGGUAGAAAGUGGGGGACCUUCGGGCCUCACGCUAUUCGAGCGGCCGACGUCUGAUUAGCUAGUAGGUGAGGUAAAGGCUCACCUAGGCGACGAUCAGUAGCGGGUCUGAGAGGAUGAUCCGCAAGACUGGGACUGAGACACGGCCCAGACUCCUACGGGAGGCAGCAGUGGGGAAUUUUGGACAAUGGGCGAAAGCCUGAUCCAGCCAUGCCGCGUGUCUGAAGAAGGCCUUCGGGUUGUAAAGGACUUUUGUCAGGGAGGAAAUCCCUAGUGCUAAUAACACUGGGGGAUGACAGUACCUGAAGAAUAAGCACCGGCUAACUACGUGCCAGCAGCCGCAGUAAAAC
rnacentral:rRNA from 1 species